AUUGAACGCUGGCGGUAGGCCUAACACAUGCAAGUCGAACGGCAGCACAGUAAGAGCUUGCUCUUACGGGUGGCGAGUGGCGGACGGGUGAGGAAUACAUCGGAAUCUACUUUUUCGUGGGGGAUAACGUAGGGAAACUUACGCUAAUACCGCAUACGACCUACGGGUUAAAUCAGUGGAUCUUCGGAGCUUUCGCGAUUGAAUGAGCCGAUGUCGGAUUAGCUAGUUGGCGGGGUAAAGGCCCACCAAGGCGACGAUCCGUAGCUGGUCUGAGAGGAUGAUCAGCCACACUGGAACUGAGACACGGUCCAGACUCCUACGGGAGGCAGCAGUGGGGAAUAUUGGACAAUGGGCGCAAGCCUGAUCCAGCCAUACCGCGUGGGUGAAGAAGGCCUUCGGGUUGUAAAGCCCUUUUGUUGGGAAAGAAAAGAAGCAGGUUAAUACCCCGCUGUUCUGACGGUACCCAAAGAAUAAGCACCGGCUAACUUCGUG
rnacentral:rRNA from 1 species